rnacentral:rRNA from 1 species
GACAGAGGGUGCAAACGUUGCUCGGAAUCACUGGGCGUAAAGGGCGUGUAGGCGGGAAGGAAAGUCAGAUGUGAAAUCCCUGGGCUCAACCCAGGAACUGCAUUUGAAACUCCCUUUCUUGAGUGUCGGAGAGGAAAGUGGAAUUCCUGGUGUAGAGGUGAAAUUCGUAGAUAUCAGGAGGAACACCGGUGGCGAAGGCGGCUUUCUGGACGACAACUGACGCUGAGACGCGAAAGCCGUGGGGGAGCAAACAGGA